GAUGAACGCUGGCGGCGUGCCUAAUACAUGCAAGUCGAGCGAACAGACGAGGAGCUUGCUCCUCUGACGUUAGCGGCGGACGGGUGAGUAACACGUGGAUAACCUACCUAUAAGACUGGGAUAACUUCGGGAAACCGGAGCUAAUACCGGAUAAUAUAUUGAACCGCAUGGUUCAAUAGUGAAAGACGGUUUUGCUGUCACUUCUAGAUGGAUCCGCGCCGCAUUAGCUAGUUGGUAAGGUAACGGCUUACCAAGGCGACGAUGCGUAGCCGACCUGAGAGGGUGAUCGGCCACACUGGAACUGAGACACGGUCCAGACUCCUACGGGAGGCAGCAGUAGGGAAUCUUCCGCAAUGGGCGAAAGCCUGACGGAGCAACGCCGCGUGAGUGAUGAAGGUCUUCGGAUCGUAAAACUCUGUUAUUAGGGAAGAACAAAUGUGUAAGUAACUAUGCACGUCUUGACGGUACCUAAUCAGAAAGCCACGGCUAACUACGUG
rnacentral:rRNA from 1 species